rnacentral:rRNA from 1 species
GACGAACGCUGGCGGCGCGCCUAACACAUGCAAGUCGAACGGGACUGCGAGAAGCUUGCUUUUUGCAGUCUAGUGGCGGACGGGUGAGUAACACGUGAGCAACCUGCCUCUAAGUGGGGAAUAACGGCUGGAAACGGUCGCUAAUACCGCAUAAUAUAGCGAGGUCGCAUGACCUUGUUAUCAAAGAUUUAUCGCUUAGAGAUGGGCUCGCGUCCGAUUAGCUAGAUGGUGGGGUAACGGCCCACCAUGGCGACGAUCGGUAGCCGGACUGAGAGGUUGAUCGGCCACAUUGGGACUGAGACACGGCCCAG